AACGAACGCUGGCGGCAUGCCUAACACAUGCAAGUCGAACGAAGGCUUCGGCCUUAGUGGCGCACGGGUGCGUAACGCGUGGGAAUCUGCCCUUUGGUUCGGAAUAACAGCUGGAAACGGCUGCUAAUACCGGAUGAUGACGAAAGUCCAAAGAUUUAUCGCCAGAGGAUGAGCCCGCGUUGGAUUAGGUAGUUGGUGGGGUAAAGGCUUACCAAGCCGACGAUCCAUAGCUGGUCUGAGAGGAUGAUCAGCCACACUGGGACUGAGACACGGCCCAGACUCCUACGGGAGGCAGCAGUGGGGAAUAUUGGACAAUGGGCGCAAGCCUGAUCCAGCAAUGCCGCGUGAGUGAUGAAGGCCCUAGGGUUGUAAAGCUCUUUUACCCGGGAAGAUAAUGACUGUACCGGGAGAAUAAGCCCCGGCUAACUCCGUG
rnacentral:rRNA from 1 species